GAUUCCCUGAGUAACGGCGAGCGAAAGGGGAAUAGUCCAGCGCUAAGUCUUGACGUUUAGGCGUUCAAGAGAUGCAGCGUUAAUGUGUUGGUGUAUCGUGUAUCGUCGAAUGUUUCAAGUUCCUUUGACAGGGACAUCCAGAGCGGGUGCUAGGCCCAUAGAGACAAUCGACCGAUUCAUGCAGACCAAUGCAUUCUAGAGUCAGGUUGCUUGAGAGUGCAGCUUAAAGUCGGUGGUAAACUCCAUCCAAGACUAAAUAUUACAGCGAGACCGAUAGCAAACAAGUACCGUGAGGGAAAGUUGCAAAGCACUUUGAAGAGAGAGUCAAACAGUACGUGAAACCACUGGGAGGCAAACAGAUGGAACCACGAAGUGUGCGUCUCGGUCGAUUCAAUCAACGCUGGCGGCUAACGGCACUGGAAAAGGAUCUUUUCGGAGAUUGUUCCGGCGUUUUUCAGCUGCAAGCUUUGGUGCAUUUCGUACCGAGGAUGCUAAGCCACGUUCGAUCAGAUGAUUGGGACGGCUGUAAGACGGGGUAGGAGAAAGGUGCCCGUCAAGUCUUUGAUUUGACGGCGUUAUAGUCUCURACCGGAACCGUCGCCUAAUGAACUGAUCGAUAAAAGUUCUCCUUACGGAGUAURACUACGUUUGCCURUGGYUGCUAGUCGGUGUUUCGAGGUGUUCUUUGCGUGUCUUUGGAUGCGAAAAGCCGCUUCAACAAUGCUGAUUAGUAGUSAUUUGCACAACGUGGUAGAACUGUGGCGCGAGUAGGUCGGUUUCCAUUUGACCCGUCUUGAAACACGGACCAAGGAGCCUAUCAUAUACGCAAGUCGCUCGGUCUUGUAUAGGCCAGAGAGGCACAAUGAAAGUAAAGCUACGAGGCUUCGGUCGCAGUAGCGGCUCGCCUACUUCGUUUAUUGGCGAUCAGGCGAAGCUGGAGCGUAUACGAUGGUACCCGAAAGAUGGUGAACUAUGCCUGGGCAAGACGAAGCCAGAGGAAACUCUGGUGGAGGUCUGUAGCGAUUCUGACGUGCAAAUCGAUCGUCAGACCUGGGUAUAGGGGCGAAAGACUAAUCGAACCAUCUAGUAGCUGGUUCCCUCCGAAGUUUCCCUCAGGAUAGCAGGCGCUUUAUUUGAACUCAGUCUCAUCCGGUAAAGCUAAUGAUUAGAGGUCUUGGGGUUGAAACGACCUCAACCUAUUCUCAAACUUUAAAUGGGUGAGAUGGUUGACUUUCUUGAUUGAAGCCGACCAUUUGGAUGUACGAGUGCCUAGUGGGCCAUUUUUGGUAAGCAGAACUGGCGCUGUGGGAUGAACCAAACGUCGAGAUAAGGCAUCAAAUGCAUACGCUCAUCAGACCCCAUAAAAGGUGUUGGUUGCUAUAGACAGCAGGACGGUGGCCAUGGAAGUCGGAAUCC
rnacentral:rRNA from 1 species